rnacentral:rRNA from 1 species
GACGAACGCUGGCGGCGUGCCUAAUACAUGCAAGUAGAACGCAGUAGCGAACGGGUGAGUAACGCGUAGGUAACCUGCCUUAUCGCGGGGGAUAACUAUUGGAAACGAUAGCUAAUACCGCAUACUGUGAGAUGGACUUGCGUUGUAUUGGCUAGUUGGUGAGGUAAAGGGUCACCAAGGCGACGCUACAUACCCGAACUGGGAGGGUGAACGGCCAAACUGGGGAUGGGACACGGGCCAGGCGCCUACGGGAGGGAACAGGAGGGGAACUUUGGGAAAGGACGGAAGGCUGAACGGGCAAAGCCGGGGGAGUGAAGAAAGGUUUCGGAACGUAAAGAUCUGGUGGUAGGAAAGCGGUAACUAACCAGAAAGGGACGGCUAACUACGUGCCAGCAGCCGCGGUAAUUC